GAACAGCCUAUCUAUCAUAUCUUGAAUAUGGGCACGUGGAAGACCACACACCUCUAGCAGCAUCAUAUCAGUUUUCAGGAGGGGAGGAGGAGGACAAUGACAACGAUGACUAGUGGAACAACUGCUAUAACACCUGCUUCCAGUUGAUUGCAGGAAACGAAUGCUCAAUUGCUCUAACGAAUAAUUGCAUUGAAAUGUUGUGCUAUUAUGUAAAUUAGGCCUCUGCCAAACAAACAAACAAUAGGCAUUGCUGGCACUCUAACUAUUGACCGCUCUGGAGAAAUCCUCACCUCUUCUGGUGAUGUACCGUGGCUUCAAAUAUUUCAUCAUCUUUACUACCCUGAUUUUUGUUGUCUAAAUGUUUGCUAUCUUCUUCCAUGGCAUGCUGAAUAAAGAGUUCAUUUGGAACAAUGUUUCCUUUCCUUGGGACUAAGGAAUGUUUCCUUUCCAUGGAACUAAGAUUGCUCUCACUGUCCUUCUGGCUCUCAAUGGCUGAAUCUACUUCUUCUUUCUCAGCCAAAAUAUCAUCAAUGUUUGUUUCAUGGUAGCAUCUCAAGGGGACAGAGUCCAGAUCAGUCUCUGAAUAUUUCACUGUUCUGCGGAUUAUUCCAGUUUCACAGUUUCCAAGUUUUGUACUAACUGGUGGAGUCAUCUCAAUUUCUACCUCUACAUGACACAGACUGUGUUCUGGCCUCAUCCGAUCUGGUUUUUGUUGCACUGAGAGGUUGGAUUUCUCAAGGAGAGGAGGUGAAGGAUCAAGUGCAUUCUGAGACAGCAUUCCUAGAAUACAGAGAUUCCAUGUUACAAACAAAAUGUACUUACCAGUUCCUAAGUGAUUCUGGCUCUUUAUGUAUGGCAUUUGCCCAGUACAUCUAUAUCAACACUACUAAUAAUUGUCAGCACAAAGCCUAAGUUAUUGAAGUAUAACAUGUUAGGUUUA